rnacentral:rRNA from 1 species
CCUACGGGAGGCAGCAGUGAGGAAUAUUGGUCAAUGGGCGCGAGCCUGAACCAGCCAAGUCGCGUGAGGGAAGACGGUCCUAUGGAUUGUAAACCUCUUUUGUCGGGGAGCAAAAGACGCCACGCGUGGCGUUCCGAGAGUACCCGAAGAAAAAGCAUCGGCUAACUCCGUGCCAGCAGCCGCGGUAAUACGGAGGAUGCGAGCGUUAUCCGGAUUUAUUGGGUUUAAAGGGUGCGCAGGCGGAAGAUCAAGUCAGCGGUGAAAUACCGAUGCUCAACAUCGGGGCUGCCGCUGAUACUGUAGGACUAGAGAUCGGAUGCAGCAGGCGGAAUGUGUAGUGUAGCGGUGAAAUGCAUAGAUAUUACACAGAACACCGAUUGCGAAGGCAGCUUGCUAGGCCGGAUCUGACACUGAUGCACGAAAGCGUGGGGAUCGAACAGGAUUAGAUACCCUUGUAGUC